GUGAUAAUGAGGAGAAAAUGUCCCACCCUGUUCUGGGCCUGGCUAGUUCAAAGCAGGACCACAGGGACAAGACUGUACCUGGCUGUUUUAAGAGCUUUCUUCAUUUGGGAAGCAGCAUGAUGAAAAUUCAUCAUCAUAAUGGAGAGGAGGCUGCGGCAGCAGUGAAGAUGAAGAGCCUGAGGAGGACGCUGAGUGGCUAAAGGAGUGAACACUAAAGAAGGUCAGGGAAAGGAGUGAUAAACCUUCUCCAAGUGGAAAUGAGCGAUUUGUAAUUUGCCUCCUCCAGGCUGAGGCCUUGCUUAAGGAGAUGGCUCACAGGAGAAGGAGCCACGUGGGAUCAGACAUUUCUGGGACACCAUCUGAGGCACGGAAUUACAGAAUUACCUGGAUAUCCACCUCUUCCUCUUCGGCUUUUGCAUCUUCUCUGUGUAUCCUAAACAGUGUCUGGUGAUUUGGCAGACACUGAGAGUUCCUACCCAAUGUCAUCCUCACUUCCUCCUUGUAACCAAACCCCAAGUUUUUUCUGGGGUGACAUAGCCCAAGGGGGUAGACUAUGAUUCAUUUAAGCCAAAUUAACAAUCCUCUUCCCAUUUUUCUCAGCUUUCCUUGCCGCUGUGAAAGACUGUGUAACUUAGGUUUGGCCAGUGAGAUGUAAGGGGAAAUACUGCUGAGGUUGUGUUUGUCAGAAUUUGCUAUGCUGCAGUAACAAAUUACCCCAUCUCAGUGACUUAACACAACAAAACUUUAUUCUUCUUUCACAUUAUAAUUGCAAUGCAAUCAGUGGGGACACUACUCCACACUCACCAGGGAGCCCAGGCUUAUGAAGUCUUUGGCAUGUUAGAAUGGAACAAUCUA